GAUUCUGGCUCAGAACGAACGCUGGCGGCGCGUUUAAGCAUGCAAGUCGAGCGGCAAGGGCCUUCGGGCCCCUAGAGCGGCGGACGGGUGAGUAACACGUGGACAAUCUGCCCCCCGGCCCGGGAUAGCCCAGGGAAACCUGGAUUAAUACCGGAUGAGACGGGACCCGCGAUGGCGGGAUCCGGGAAAGGCGCUGCGGCGCCGCCGGGGGAUGAGUCUGCGUCCCAUUAGCUAGACGGCGGGGUAACGGCCCACCGUGGCGACGAUGGGUAGCCGGCCUGAGAGGGUGGACGGCCACAUUGGAACUGAGACACGGUCCAGACUCCUACGGGAGGCAGCAGCUAAGAAUCUUCCGCAAUGGGCGAAAGCCUGACGGAGCCGACGCCGCGUGAACGAAGAAGGCCGUGAGGUUGUAAAGUUCUUUUCGGGAGGGGGAACAACCGUGGCAGGGAAUGGCCGCGGGAUGACGUGAAUCCCGGAAUAAGCCCCGGCUAACUACGUGCCAGCCGCCGC
rnacentral:rRNA from 1 species